CAAAGAGCAAGUAAAACCAAUAUUAGUUGAAACAACAGAUACUACAACAAGACAAAAACAUGCACUAAAACUGACCAAAAAAUGUCAUGUAAAUGUUGCCAAGAAAACAAAGAACCUCUCAAGGUGCACUUGUUUUAUCAAUAAGAUGAAAAG